rnacentral:lncRNA from 1 species
UCCCUUUCUUCUCUCUCUCCCUCUCUCUUCCUCCCAUCCGUGCGAACCCCUCCUCUCCAUCUUCUCUCCUUCUUCGCACGCCCAGCCAUGGAAGAGGUGGAUUGCAGCAGCCCUUUGCUCGACCGGUUGCUUGUCCGCCCGUCACCGCCUCACGCCGCCGCACGCCGUCCUCGCCGUCCGCUCGCUCGCCGACCAGCUCCCCCGCUCCGCCUCAGCCCGCAUCCUCAGCAGAUCUGGGAACCCCGAACCAGCAAGCCGAAGACCAGUUGAAGCCAGCAGCUCCACUCGUCGCCGCCGCCAGCCGGAGCUCCUCGCCGUCGUCGCUCGCCCGCGCGGUCGACCCGCUCGCCGCUCCGCCCAGCCACCUCCGCCUGCCUCUGUCCGCGAGUUCUAAGAGCUGCCGGAGCUCCCUCCGCCGCCGUGAGGCCUCGCCGGGCCGCCGCCUCACUCGUCCAAGCCCCGCCGGUUCUCCCUUGCCGUUCCUCCGCCCGAUUAGGCUCGAAUCAGCCCUCCUCCGCCCAAGAUCCGAAGUUGCAGAAAAUGGGUAUGCAGCGGCUUCGUGGCCCGUUUUGGCCGCCUUCCCGAGCCCGGAUGCUCGGCCCGCUUUGAGGAAAGUUGUUCUUCUCGGCGUCCCCGUCGUUUUGGUCCGCUCGAUUCGUUAAUCCGGUGAGUUUAACUCACUAAACCUUGCUUAGAGGGUUAAUGAUGCUUUAGGUGUGUUUAGUUUAUGUUAAGUGUUAUUAGGUGGUUAGUUUAAUUUAUUUAAGUGUAGAGUAUAUUAAUGUGCUUGAUUAACUUAAAUUGUGUUUAAUUUAAAGUUAAGUGGGUGUUUAUAUUAAUAUAAACAUUGAUGUGACAUAAAGGAAUUUAAUUUUGAUUUAUUUAAAUAUCCGAAAUCAUUAAAUAAUUUAAUAAUAUAUUAUUAUUCGAAAUUAUUAAAAUAUUAUUAUUUAAUUAUUUUCGGAAUAAAUUUAAUUAUUUAUUAAAUUCCGAAAAUUUUGGUCGGGACCCUAAAUUCUCAGAAUUUCGUGCCGGUCGCUACGGUACAUUCGGAUUUUGAAAUUGAUGAUUGGAUAUUAUAAAUUGAGUGAGGAUUUCGAAAACUAUGGAUAUUAUUAUUUAAUUAUUUUCGGAAUAAAUUUAAUUAUUUAUUAAAUUCCGAAAAUUUUCAUUGAUACCUUAUUUGCUCAGAAUUUCGUGCCGAUCGUUGCUGUGCAUUUAGAAUUUGAAAUUGAUGAUUGGUUGUGAUGAAUUGAGUGUGAUUGUGAUUUAUAGGGAUUCUUUACGAAAUCCUAAGUGUAGAAAUUGAUGGGAGAUUGGCUGUGAAUUACCACCUAUUAGAGGUCGUGCCCAGAGAGGCCGUGAUAAACCACCUUGGAAAGGUCGUGCCCGAUGAGGCCGUGAAAAACCACCUACAAGAGGUCGUGCCCGAUGAGGCCGUGAAAUACCACCUAUUAGAGGUCGUGCCCAGAGAGGCCGUGAUAAACCACCUGUGAAAGGUCGUGCCCAGAGAGGCCGUGAUAAACCACCUGUGAAAGGUCGUGCCUAGAGAGGCCGUGAUAAAUCACCUCUGAGAGGUCGUGCCCAGAGAGGCCGUGAUAAACCACCUUGGAAAGGUCGUGCCCGAUGAGGCCGUGAAAAACCACCUACAAGAGGUCGUGCCCAGUGGGGCCGUGAAUUGCCACCUGUUAAAGGUCGCGCCGAGUGGGGCCGUGAUGCCACUGAUUUUAAAUUUGCCAAGUAGGGCCGUAGUUGAGAGCAAUGACGAUCCAAGUGGUUGAAUGGUUUGAUGAUGUGAUUGUGCCAUGGUUGUUUGGUUAUCAUAAUUGUACGUGGUUGAAUUAUAUAAAUUGUGCUAACCUGCAGAUGAAGGCUGAGGCGAGGUAAGUCUUCUGUGUGAUGUGGCUAGGCCACCCGGGGCGUAUUUCUCUUUCUAAUAGGGGUUUAGGGGGUUGAACUUGCUGAGACAUCGUCUCAUCCCGGUUGUGGGAUUAAAAUUUCAGGUCCCUGAUGGACGGAGUGGCCAGAUAGCUUUGGUUGGCCUUGAAGGGUUGGAGAAGUGAAGGCAUAAGGAUUUGAGAUCGUGUCCGACUUGUAGGUCGUAGGACAAUUCCUUUUUAAGAGCCGGUCUUGUGUAGACUGUUGGCCAUAGACUUCUGUUUGUAAUUCUGUUGAAUUAUGAAAGUGUUUUGUUGUGGUUUUGUUUCCUGCUUUUCUAUCCCGUAUUUUAUUGUCAGGGGUUUUAUAAUACGUUCCGCUUGCGCAUUUAAUAAAACAAUGGGGUCGGCGACACUACCUGGGAAUGUCGCAUUUGAUCGACCGCAG